AGUACGGGAAGUGACCGUCGGAGGGAAAUCGCUGUCUGGCCCUGGGAGCAAGGGACAAGGAAACCUUGGAGAGCUUCAGUACAGCGCGGGGGGCAGCAUUACAAGAGCUCCUUGGACAAAAAUAACACUUCUGAAAUGGAAGCAGCAAGCUGAGCCAUAGGACGUAUUUCAGAAGGGUGGUCUGCAGGCCACUAAUUCUCCAUUUGAGGAAAGCUGGGUAAACUGUAUGGAAAGCUUGAUGGUACAGACCUUGGUAGGCUACUUCCUAGCUCUCAAAUAUGGUGAUACAACAAAUAACAAACUCAUCGCAAACAAGUCACAAAGGAUUUAGGAUCAGUAUACUUUAAUAAGG